AGAGUUUGAUCCUGGCUCAGAUUGAACGCUGGCGGAAUGCUUUACACAUGCAAGUCGAACGGCAGCACGGGAGCUUGCUCCUGGUGGCGAGUGGCGAACGGGUGUGUAACAUAUCGGAACAUAUCCUAUCGUGGGGGAUAACUAGUCGAAAGACUAGCUAAUACCGCAUACGUCCUGAGGGAGAAAGCGGGGGCUCGCAAGACCUCGCGCGAUUGGAGUGGCCGAUAUCUGAUUAGCUAGAUGGUGAGGUAAAAGCUCACCAUGGCGACGAUCAGUAGCUGGUCUGAGAGGAUGAUCAGCCACACUGGGACUGAGACACGGCCCAGACUCCUACGGGAGGCAGCAGUGGGGAAUUUUGGACAAUGGGCGAAAGCCUGAUCCAGCCAUUCCGCGUGAGUGAAGAAGGCCUUCGGG
rnacentral:rRNA from 1 species